GGCUUAGGAUGAACGCUAGCGACAGGCUUAACACAUGCAAGUCGAGGGGUAACAGGGUAGCAAUACCGCUGACGACCGGCGCACGGGUGAGUAACGCGUAUGCAACCUGCCUAUAACUGGGGAAUAGCUCCCUGAAAGGGGAAUUAACACCGCAUAACACUAUUGAUUCGCAUGGAUUGGUAGUUAAAUGUAGCGAUACAGGUUAUAGAUGGGCAUGCGUGACAUUAGCUAGUUGGUGAGGUAACGGCUCACCAAGGCUACGAUGUCUAGGGGUUCUGAGAGGAAGGUCCCCCACACUGGUACUGAGACACGGACCAGACUCCUACGGGAGGCAGCAGUGAGGAAUAUUGGUCAAUGGGCGCAAGCCUGAACCAGCCAUGUCGCGUGCAGGAAGACUGCCCUAUGGGUUGUAAACUGCUUUUAUAGUAGAAGAAACACAUCUACGUGUAGAUGUCUGCCAGUAUACUAUGAAUAAGCAUCGGCUAACUCCGUGCCAGCCGCAGC
rnacentral:rRNA from 1 species